UAGAAAAUUAACGGUUUUAGAAGGGGGAAAACUUUUUGGCAACGGGAUGGGUUGCGGGGAAAGCAUGCUGAAGUACUGAUUCCCGUUCUGUUCAGCCUAGGGAUCGCAAGAUGUCCCACGGAAGGUGACAUCUUGUCGAAGUCAUGUGCUACAGCAGGCAAAUCAGGAGGAGCAGCGAGCCAAGUUUCAUCCCAGCUUCCAAAGAAACUGAUCCCGACAGCUCAUCCCUCGCUGGCCCUGGCCCAGGAGGGUGCAGGAGGAGCUCAGAGGGAUGAGAGAUCACUCCUGUUUCAGAGAAGCCUUCGUGGAAGAGAUGGCCCUUAUUCUGGACCUGAGAUGAGACUGGGGAAACUUGAGAGCACUUGCCUCGCCUCCAAAAGAGCAAACGGUUCCUCCGUUGUUUCGGUUUUUUUUUUUUUCAAAAUAAGCUGGUUUUCUGGAUUUUAAUGUAACAUCUCCUAUUUUUUAAAAGGAUGGCAACAUUAAAACUUUUGAAAAACACAUUGCAGGGCAAAUAAAAUCAUCCAGUAUCUAAUUGGUGUUCAAAUUUGCUGAUGGUCUCAUUUUUUUACAUGUUUCAAUAAAAUUCCAAACACAUUGC
rnacentral:lncRNA from 1 species